rnacentral:rRNA from 1 species
AGCCAGACUCCUACGGGAGGCAGCAGUGGGGGAUAUUGCACAAUGGGGGAAACCCUGAUGCAGCGACGCCGCGUGGGCGAAGAAGUAUUUCGGUAUGUAAAGCCCUAUCAGCAGGGAAGAAGAAAUGACGGUACCUGAGUAAGAAGCACCGGCUAAAUACGUGCCAGCAGCCGCGGUAAUACGUAGGUGGCAAGCGUUGUCCGGAAUUACUGGGUGUAAAGGGAGCGCAGGCGGGAAGCCAAGUCAGCUGUGAAAACUACGGGCUUAACUUGUAGACUGCAGUUGAAACUGGUUUUCUUGAGUGAAGUAGAGGUUGGCGGAAUUCCGAGUGUAGCGGUGAAAUGCGUAGAUAUCGCGCAGAACUCCGAUUGCGAAGGCAGCAUACCGGCGCUCAACUGACGCUCAUGCACGAAAGUGUGGGUAUCGAACAGGAUUAGAUACCCCGGUAC